UUACAUAAUAUUAUUGAAUUGUGAUUUUAUUAUGAAUAGUAAUUAUUCCCAAAAUAAUCAAAAUGAACGUGAGCAACAUCGAAAGCGUCAUUUUCAGGAUUAUACAUAUGAUAAGAAAGUUAGACGUAACAAAACAACUACCAUUUUUGGUCAGCACAGGUAGAAGAAUAGAAGCUAGUUCAUAUUGAUUUGAAAGGUGCUCCUCCUCGAGUCAUUUAUUUUGAAAAGCUAUUUCCAUUGUUGAAAGAAUGGGGUGCUACAGGAAUAUUACUUGAAUGGGAAAACACAUUUCCAUAUGUUACAACACUUUUACCAAUAGGCAGCAGUGGUCCGCAUAAUACUUUAAGUGGAUAUACUGCAGACGAAGCUCAUCAAAUUUUACAAUUAGCAGUAAAUUCAGGGCUGUCUAUAAUUCCACUUAUUCAAAUUUUUGGACA